rnacentral:rRNA from 1 species
UAGGGAAUUUUCCGCAAUGGGCGAAAGCCUGACGGAGCAACGCCGCGUGCAGGAGGAAGGCCUUCGGGUUGUAAACUGCUUUUAACGGGGACGAUUUUGACGGUACCCGUAGAAUAAGGAUUGGCUAAUUCCGUGCCAGCAGCCGCGGUCAUACGGAAGAUCCGAGCGUUAUCCGGAAUUACUGGGCGUAAAGAGUUGCGUAGGUGGCAGGUAAAGCGAACAGUGAAAGGUCCCGGCUCAACCGGGGAUACAUUGUUCGAACUCACCAGCUAGAGCAUGAGAGAGGUAGAUGGAAUUUCUAGUGUAGGAGUGAAAUCCGUAGAUAUUAGAAGGAACACCGAUGGCGUAGGCAGUCUACUGGCUCAUUGCUGACACUAAGGCACGAAAGCGUGGGGAGCGAACGGGAUUAGAUACCCCCGUAGUCC